rnacentral:rRNA from 1 species
CUGCCCAGUGACAAAGUUAAACGGCCGCGGUACCCUAACCGUGCGAAGGUAGCGCAAUCACUUGUUCUUUAAAUGAGGACUAGUAUGAAUGGCAUCACGAGGGUUAUACUGUCUCCCUCUUUUAAUCAGUGAAACUGAUCUUCCCGUGAAGAAGCGGGAAUACAUCUAUAAGACGAGAAGACCCCAUGGAGCUUUAAACUCAGUAUCAACUGCCCUCCCAAUAUAUCCACCUAAUUAAGCAGACAUGACUACUAGUUUUCGGUUGGGGUGACCGCGGAGCAAAACAAAACCUCCACGAUGAAAGGAAUUAACCUCCUAAUCAAAGAGCUACAUCUCUAAGAAUCAACAAAUUGACAUUUAUUGAUCCAAUUUUUUUGAUCAACGAACCAAGUUACCCUGGGGAUAACAGCGCAAUCCAUUUCAAGAGCCCCUAUCGACAAAUGGGUUUACGACCUCGAUGUUGGAUCAGGGUAUCCCAGUGGUGCAGCCGCUACUAAAGGUUCGUUUGUUCAACGAUU